GAGUAGCUGUCGACAUUAUAGUUGUGCAGGCACUUUGUUGACUCUAGAGAACCUCAGGCCAAUCGGACGUCCCUGUGACUGCGACUUUGCAUUCAGAUGUCUGCCCUAUCAACUUUCGAUGCCACUUUCUGCGCCUACCAUGGUGACCAUGGUUAACAGGGAAUCAUGGUUGGAUUCCAGAGAGGGAACCUGAGAAACGGCUACCACAUCCAAGGAAGGCAGCAGGCGCACAAAUUAUCCACUCCCGAAGCGGGGAGGUAGUGACGACAAAUAACAAUACAGGACUCUUUAGAGGCCCUGUAAUUGGAAUAAGUCCACUUGAAAUCCUUUAACUAUGAUCAAUUGCAGGGCAAGUCUGGUGCAUGCUGCAGCUGAAACUCCACUAUCGCCUGCUGCUGCUC